GCCGCGGCCGUGGCAGGGCUGGGCUGGGCUGGGCUCCGCAUCUGCAGUGCCACGG
rnacentral:miRNA from 1 species